rnacentral:lncRNA from 1 species
UUGGUUGCUUGUAACCAAUAUCAACCUCUUCUUCAUCUCUAUAUAUUCUUGCAUCAAUAGCAUGACUCAUUCCAAUUUCGCCCAUUAAUUACCUCUUUCGCUUAAUGCUGUCAAUGAUAACAUCAUGAAACUCCUUCUUUGCAAUUCUCAAGACUUCUUUCAAUGUGAAUUCCACCUUAGCGUUUAAUAUACGUUCUUCCAACACCCCUUUCAAAUUUGUUGCCGCUUGAAUAUCAGAAAGUAGCUUAUAAGCAAUUGAUUUGCCUUUAUCUUUUGUCUCCUUUUUUUUUUUUCUCCCAAUGAUGCUGAGGUAUCCUUUACAGGCAAUUCUUAUGAAGCUGCCUCCCG